GACGAACGCUGGCGGCGUGCCUAACACAUGCAAGUCGAGCGAAGUGAGUACUACGGUACGAACUUAGCGGCGGACGGGUGAGUAACGCGUGGACAAUCUACCCUGUAGACUGGGAUAACACCUCGAAAGGGGUGCUAAUACCGGAUAAUGUCGAGAAGCGGCAUCGCUUUUCGAAGAAAGGAGAGAAUCCGCUAUAGGAGGAGUCCGCGUCCCAUUAGCUAGUUGGUGAGGGUAACGGCCCACCAAGGCGACGAUGGGUAGCCGGCCUGAGAGGGUGAACGGCCACACUUGAACUGAGACACGGUCCAGACUCCUACGGGAGGCAGCAUUGGGGAAUAUUGUGCAAUGGGGGAAACCCUGACACAGCAACGCCGCGUGAGCGAAGAAGGCCUUCGGGUUGUAAAGCUCAAUAAUAUGGGAAGAUAAUGACGGUACCAUACGAAAGCCCCGGCUAACUACGUGCCAGCAGCAGCCGCCGUAA
rnacentral:rRNA from 1 species